rnacentral:misc_RNA from 1 species
GACGAAGAACGUAGCGAAAUGCGAUAAGUAAUAUGAAUUGCAGAAUUCAGUGAAUCAUCGAAUCUUUGAACGCACAUUGCGCCCGCCAGUAUUCUGGCGGGCAUGCCUGUUCGAGCGUCAUUUCAACCAUCAAGCCCCCGGGCUUGUGUUGGGGACCUGCGGCUGCCGCAGGCCCUGAAAAGCAGUGGCGGGCUCGCUGUCACACCGAGCGUAGUAGAUUUUAUCUCGCUCAGGGCGUGCUGCGGGUUCCGGCCGUUAAACCACCUUCAUAACCCAAGGUUGACCUCGGAUCAGGUAGGAAGACCCGCUGAACUUAAGCAUAUCAAUAAGCGGAGGA